rnacentral:lncRNA from 1 species
AGGAAAGUAUGCAAGUUUUGUUUACACUUCAAAGGAACACAUGCAACUAUAAAACCCUGCUGACCGGUUAUGUCGAAACUUACAAACUUCUGCUCCUUUGUUGGAAGGGAUUGCGCGCUUCUUGGAAAGAGGAAAUUCCCGACGAUCUUAUAGUCUAUGUGGAGAAUAUAAAGGCAAAGCACACUUCCUCUGUCACAAACACAUUCAACCGAAGACUCUCACAAGAGAGACAACGAUUUAACCAACUCUAUAACUCCAGACAGGGAACUGAACUAAACGACUGAACGAUGGAAUGCCAUGAACACUAUAUUUUGCCUUCGGAUGCACUGGAGACAGACAUCAUUUACCCUGACAGUGCUGGCUUUGAUGAACCGGACUGCCCAGAUCAACUAGCCAUGGUGAGUUGCUUGUUAAAUAUGCUCGUGGAUAUGGUCUGAUUAAUAUUAAGUCUUCUAAAACACAGUUUUUUUUUCUCUCUCUCCAGAUAUGCCAAUGCAACAUGCAUGAAGACAUCAAACUAGAACUGUCACCGCAUCCUCACAGAAUGAGGCAAGUGGUGAACAUCAUCAUUGCUGUGAAAAGGUUGAAGCACAUCCAAGAAAUGUCUUCUGGCAAGUUUUGUGAAGAUGCGCUGCUCAACUUCUUCUUGGAGAAUGUGAUCGAAGGUACUGUUAGCAAACUUUUAAGCAGCUUAAACUGGCUUCAGGUGGUUUGAUAGUUG